rnacentral:rRNA from 1 species
GAUGAACGCUAGCGGCAGGCUUAAUACGUGCAAGUCGAGGGGUAACAUGGGUAGCAAUACCUGAUGACGACCGGCAAACGGGUGCGGAACACGUACGCAACCUUCCCAAAACUGGUGAAUAGCCCUCCGAAAGGAGGAUUAAUACACCGUAACAUAAUGAAGAGGCAUCUUUUUAUUAUUAUAGGCUUCGGCCGGUUUUGGAUGGGCGUGCGCCUGAUUAGGUAGUUGGCGGGGUAACGGCCCACCAAGCCUGCGGUCAGUAACUGGUGUGAGAGCACGACCAGUCACACGGGCACGGAGACACGGGCCCGACUCCUACGGGAGGCGGCAGUAAGGAAUAUUGGUCAAUGGACGAAAGUCUGAACCAGCCAUGCCGCGUGAAGGAUUAAGGCCCUCUGGGUUGUAAACUUCUUUUAUAUGGGACGAAAAAAGGGAAUUCUUUCUCACUUGACGGUACCAUAGGAAUAAGCACCGGCUAACUCCGUGCCAGCAGCCGCCGCCGUAA